rnacentral:rRNA from 1 species
AGUUUGAUCCUGGCUCAGAACGUACGCUGGCGGCACGCCUAACACAUGCAAGUCGAACGAAGUAGCAAUACUUAGUGGCAGACGGGUGAGUAACAUGUAGGUAUCUGCCCUUUGGCCUGGAAUAACACGAGGAAACUUGUGCUAAUACCGGAUAAGUCUUUACGGAGAAAGCUUUAUGCACCAUUGGAUGAGCCUGCACUUGAUUAGUUUGUUGGUGGGGUAAUGGCCUACCAAGACUGUGAUCAAUAGCUGAUUUGAGAGGAUGAUCAGCCACAUUGGGACUGAGACACGGCCCAAACUCCUACGGGAGGCAGCAGUGGGGAAUCUUGCACAAUGGAGGAAACUCUGAUGCAGCGAUGCCGCGUGAGUGAAGAAGGCCCUUGGGUUGUAAAGCUCUUUCGUCGGGGAAGAAAAUGACUGUACCCGAAUAAGAAGGUCCGGCUAACUUCGUGCCAGCAGCCGCGGUAAUACGAAGGGACCUAGCGUAGUUCGAAAUUACUGGGCUUAAAGAGUUCGUAGGUGGUUGAAAAAGUUGGUGGUGAAAUCCCAGAGCUUAACUCUGGAACUGCCAUCAAAACUUUUCAGCUAGAGUAUGAUAGAGGAAAGCAGAAUUUCUAGUGUAGAGGUGAAAUUCGUAGAUAUUAGAAAGAAUACCAAUUGCGAAGGCAGCUUUCUGGAUCAUUACUGACACUGAGGAACGAAAGCAUGGGUAGCGAAGAGGAUUAGAUACCCUCGUAGUCCAUGCCGUAAACGAUGUGUAUUAGACGUUGGAAAUUUAUUUUCAGUGUCGCAGCGAAAGCGAUAAACACACCGCCUGGGGAGUACGACCGCAAGGUUAAAACUCAAAUGAAUUGACGGGGACCCGCACAAGUAGUGGAGCAUGUGGUUUAAUUCGAAGAUACGCGCAGAACCUUACCAACACUUGACAUGUUCGUCGCGACUUUGAGAGAUCAAAGUUUUCGGUUCGGCCGGACGAAACACAGGUGCUGCAUGGCUGUCGUCAGCUCGUGUCGUGAGAUGUUGGGUUAAGUCCCGCAACGAGCGCAACCCUCACUUUUAGUUGCCAUCAUUAAGUUGGGCACUCUGAAAGAACUGCCAGUGAUAAGCUGGAGGAAGGUGGGGAUGACGUCAAGUCCUCAUGGCCCUUACGUGUUGGGCUACACACGUGCUACAAUGGUAUCUACAACAGGAAGCAAGACUGCGAAGUUAAGCAAAUCCUUAAAAGAUACCUCAGUUCGGAUUGCACUCUGCAACUCGAGUGCAUGAAGCUGGAAUUACUAGUAAUCGUGGAUCAGCGUGCCACGGUGAAUGCGUUCCCGGGUCUUGUACACACCGCCCGU